UACGUAGGGGUCGAGCGUUGUCCGGAGUUACUGGGCGUAAAGCGCACGUAGGCGGCUUUCUAAGUCAGGGGUGAAAUCCUGGAGCUCAACUCCAGAACUGCCUUUGAUACUGGAGAGCUAGAGUCCGGAAGAGGUGAGUGGAACUGCGAGUGUAGAGGUGAAAUUCGUAGAUAUUCGCAAGAACACCAGUGGCGAAGGCGGCUCACUGGUCCGGUACUGACGCUGAGGUGCGAAAGCGUGGGGAGCAAACAGG
rnacentral:rRNA from 1 species